GACUCAGGGUCUGAAAGUAGUAAAUUACCUCACUUGUAUGUUCAUAGUAAGUUAUAGAUUUAACUUCUAUUUCCCACCUGAGUACUGCACAUGACUAGUCUUAA
rnacentral:Y_RNA from 1 species